rnacentral:rRNA from 1 species
GACGAACGCUGGCGGCGUGCUUAACACAUGCAAGUCGAACGGAAAGGCCCUGCUUUUGUGGGGUGCUCGAGUGGCGAACGGGUGAGUAACACGUGAGUAACCUACCCUUGACUUUGGGAUAACUUCAGGAAACUGGGGCUAAUACCGGAUAGGAGCUCCUGCUGCAUGGUGGGGGUUGGAAAGUUUCGGCGGUUGGGGAUGGACUCGCGGCUUAUCAGCUUGUUGGUGGGGUAGUGGCUUACCAAGGCUUUGACGGGUAGCCGGCCUGAGAGGGUGACCGGCCACAUUGGGACUGAGAUACGGCCCAGACUCCUACGGGAGGCAGCAGUGGGGAAUAUUGCACAAUGGGCGGAAGCCUGAUGCAGCAACGCCGCGUGCGGGAUGACGGCCUUCGGGUUGUAUACCGCUUUCGCCUGUGACGAAGCGUGAGUGACGGUAAUGGGUAAAGAAGCACCGGCUAACUACGUGCCAGCAGCCGCGGUGAUACGUAGGGUGCGAGCGUUGUCCGGAUUUAUUGGGCGUAAAGGGCUCGUAGGUGGUUGAUCGCGUCGGAAGUGUAAUCUUGGGGCUUAACCCUGAGCGUGCUUUCGAUACGGGUUGACUUGAGGAAGGUAGGGGAGAAUGGAAUUCCUGGUGGAGCGGUGGAAUGCGCAGAUAUCAGGAGGAACACCAGUGGCGAAGGCGGUUCUCUGGGCCUUUCCCGACGCUGAGGAGCGAAAGCGUGGGGAGCGAACAGGCUUAGAUACCCUGGUAGUCCACGCUGUAAACGGUGGGUACUAGGUGUGGGGUCCAUUCCACGGGUUCCGUGCCGUAGCUAACGCUUUAAGUACCCCGCCUGGGGAGUACGGCCGCAGGGCUAAAACUCAAAGGAAUUGACGGGGCCCCGCACAAGCGGCGGAGCAUGCGGAUUAAUUCGAUGCAACGCGUAGAACCUUACCUGGGUUUGACAUGGAUCGGGAGUGCUCAGAGAUGGGUGUGCCUCUUUUGGGGUCGGUUCACAGGUGGUGCAUGGCUGUCGUCAGCUCGUGUCGUGAGAUGUUGGGUUAAGUCCCGCAACGAGCGCAACCCCUGUUCACUGUUGCCAGCACGUUAUGGUGGGGACUCAGUGGAGACCGCCGGGGUCAACUCGGAGGAAGGUGGGGAUGACGUCAAGUCAUCAUGCCCCUUAUGUCCAGGGCUUCACGCAUGCUACAAUGGCUGGUACAGAGAGUGGCGAGCCUGUGAGGGUGAGCGAAUCUCGGAAAGCCGGUCUCAGUUCGGAUUGGGGUCUGCAACUCGACCUCAUGAAGUCGGAGUCGCUAGUAAUCGCAGAUCAGCAACGCUGCGGUGAAUACGUUCCCGGGGCU